rnacentral:rRNA from 1 species
UACGGGGGGGGCAAGCGUUGUUCGGAAUUACUGGGCGUAAAGGGCGUGUAGGCGGCCAACUAAGUCCGACGUGAAAUUCCCAGGCUUAACCUGGGAACUGCGUCGGAUACUGGAUGGCUUGAAUCCGGGAGAGGGAUGCGGAAUUCCAGGUGUAGCGGUGAAAUGCGUAGAGAUCGGGAAGAACAUCGGUGGCGAAAGCGCUCUGCUGGACUGCAACUGACACUCAGGGACGAAAGCUAGGGGAGCGAAUGGG